AGUGUGAAUUGAUUAAGUGUUCCGGGAAUGAAUAUACCAAGUGCGAAUCAGGUUGUAGUGGGUAUGAGUGGGUAUGAUGUAUGGGCGAUGGGGCUUAUUUUCUGUGUAUCAUUUUAAUAAUAGGGUUAAUAUGGGUGACUAUCUCUAUGUGAAUACGUGCGGGCUUUUAGUGGGAGUGCUGUGUGUGUGAUGAGUGUGAUGUGUGUGGGAUGUGUGUGUGAUGAGUGUGAUGUAUGGUGCGCUGUGCCGCUGCGGUGUGCGGGGCGCCGGUGCGUUGUGCGGUGCGCCGGUGCGGUGUGCGGUGUGUUCCCUUAGAUUGGGCACUCUGCUCCUCCCGAGGUGCUCCGGCCGUGCCAGCCUUGGCACUGACCCCGCCGAGGAGAGUGCCAACGUAGACGCGUGUAAGAAAAAUUAGAUCUGUCCGUUACACGCGAGAAAGUAGGUUUUUUUUGUUAAAUCCGUCCCCUGGCUAUGGGGUCGAAAACACCCCUGACUUCCCCGAGAGCUAGCCGGGAACGAUAGACCAGGGCGGCAAAAAGGCGGAUCAUAACA
rnacentral:lncRNA from 1 species